UACGUAGGUGGCAAGCGUUGUCCGGAAUUAUUGGGCGUAAAGCGCGCGCAGGCGGUCCUUUAAGUCUGAUGUGAAGGCCCACGGCUCAACCGUGGAGGGUCAUUGGAAACUGGGGGACUUGAGUACAGAAGAGAAGAGUGGAAUUCCACGUGUAAGCGGUGAAAUGCGUAGAGAUGUGGAGGAACACCAGUGGCGAAGGCGACUCUUGGUCUGUAACUGACGUUGAGGCGCGAAAGCCGUGGGGAGCAAACAGG
rnacentral:rRNA from 1 species